CGGCGAGUGAAGCGGGAAGAGCUCAAAUUUGAAAGCUGGCACCUUCGGUGUCCGCGUUGUAAUCUCGAGAAGUGUUUUCCGUGCUGGACCAUGUACAAGUUCCUUGGAAUAGGACGUCAUAGAGGGUGAAAAUCCCGUACUUGACAUGGACGCCCAGUGCUUUGUGAUACACUCUCCACGAGUCGAGUUGUUUGGGAAUGCAGCUCAAAAUGGGUGGUAAAUUCCAUCUAAAGCUAAAUAUUGGGGAGAGACCGAUAGCGAACAAGUACCGUGAGGGAAAGAUGAAAAGCACUUUGGAAAGAGAGUUAAACAGUACGUGAAAUUGUCGAAAGGGAAGCGCUUGAAGUUAGACAUGCUUGUCGGGAUUCAGCCUUGCUUUUGCUUGGUGUAUUUCCCGGUGUGCAGGCCAGCAUCAGUUUUGUUUGCCGGAUAAGGGUGAGAGGAAUGUGGCCCCUUGGGGUGUUAUAGCCUCUCACUGGAUACGGCGGAUGGGACUGAGGACCGCAGUGUGGCUUUAUGGCGGGCCUUCGGGCACCUUCACACUUAGGAUGCUGGCGUAAUGGCUUUAAGCGACCCGUC
rnacentral:rRNA from 1 species